rnacentral:rRNA from 1 species
UUUCCAGAGAUGGAUUGGUGCCUUCGGGAGCUGUGAGACAGGUGCUGCAUGGCUGUCGUCAGCUCGUGUUGUGAAAUGUUGGGUUAAGUCCCGCAACGAGCGCAACCCUUAUCCUUUGUUGCCAGCGGUCCGGCCGGGAACUCAAAGGAGACUGCCAGUGAUAAACUGGAGGAAGGUGGGGAUGACGUCAAGUCAUCAUGGCCCUUACGACCAGGGCUACACACGUGCUACAAUGGCGCAUACAAAGAGAAGCGACCUCGCGAGAGCAAGCGGACCUCAUAAAGUGCGUCGUAGUCCGGACUGGAGUCUGCAACUCGACUCCAUGAAGUCGGAAUCGCUAGUAAUCGUGGAUCAGAAUGCCACGGUGAAUACGUUCCCGGGCCUUGUACACACCGCCCGUCACACCAUGGGAGUGGGUUGCAAAAGAAGUAGGUAGCUUAACCUUCGGGAGGGCGCUUACCACUUUGUGAUUCAUGACUGGGGUGAAGUCGUAACAAGGUAACCGUAGGGGAACCUGCGGUUGGAUCACCUCCUUACCUUAAAGAA